rnacentral:lncRNA from 10 species
CUGACCUCAUGAUCUGCCUGCCUCGGCCUCCCAAAGUGCUGGGAUUACAGGCAUGAGCCAUGGCACCUGGCCUUAAUUUUAUCUUUUGUUUCAAGAAUUAUUAUUUUUUGUUGUGUUUUUUGUUUGUUUUUUGUGUGUUUUGUUGUUGUUGUUGUUGUUGUUGAGACAGAGUCUUGCUCUGUGGCCCAGGCUGGAGUUCAGUGGUGCGAUCUCAGCUCACUGCAACCUCCACCUCCUUGAGCUCAAGUGACCCUCCUGCCUUAGCUUCCCAAGUAUCUGGGACCACAGACAUGCGCCACCACACCUGACUAAUUGUCUUGUAUUUUUGGUAUAGACGGGGUUUUGCCAUGUUGCUCAGGCAACUCCUGGGCUCAAGUGAUUGGUCUGCCUUAGCCUCCCAAUGAUAGGGAUUACAGGUAUGAACCACCGCACCUAGUUACAUAAAUGUUUAAAUGAAGCGAGACAACACCGUCAGUAGGUGAAAGUAGGGGUGUACUUGGCACACCCUGUCUUGCUCCCUCCUAUGAGGCUGUGUGUGUGUGUGUGUGUGUGUGUGUGUGUAUGUGUGUACCUCCCCCCAUACCUUAUGUAUUGGGUUUUGUGAAUGGCUCUAGCCUUUAUGGCCAGAACUCUUGAUUGGAAGAGGAGGGAGAAAAGGUCAUCACUGCUUGCAGCUGCAGGCAUAAUAAGCCGCCAUCCACCCGCCUCAGGAAUUCUCCUCCAGCUUAACUUUCAGUGUGACAGAAACAAGUGAAAAAUCUCUGAGAUGAGAAAUUAUCUGAAAACACGGAACACUCAUUCCAUGGUAUAGAAGGAGGUGUUGUCCAACUUUAAAAAAUAAAGAAAUUCAGCCAGGUGCGGUGGCCCAUGCCUGUAAUCCAGCACUUUGGGAGGCCGAGGUAGGCAGAUCACCUGAAGUCAGGAGAUUGAGACUAGCCUGGCCAACAUGGUAAAACCCUGUCUCUACUGAAAAUACCAAAAAAAAAAAAAAAAAAAAAACAAACAAACAAAAAAAAAACCGGGCGUGGUGGCGGCACCUGUAAUCCCAGCUACUAAAGCAGGAGAAUUGCUUGAACCCGGGAUGGGGAGGUUGCAGAGUGCACUCCAGCCUGGGCAACAAGAGCAAAACUCCAUCUCAAAAAGAUAAAAUAAAAAUUCUCUGGAAAAUAACAUGAUCAGGAUCUUGUUUCUUAUGGACUUUCAUCUGUGUAAAAUUCAGGGCCUUGCACCUGAUAUGUAAGUUGUCAGUGUUGAAUGAAUGAAUGAGUGAAUGAGUGAAUGAGUGAAGAACAAACUUUUUCAAAGUAUAUUGACCUUUUGGUUAAUUUCAAAUAACCGAACAGUGCUCAUACUUUUAGUGCAGAUGACCCAGGCAAGUUUGAAAAAUUGGCCUCUUACGAGCCUCUGUCAAGAGAGAACAAGAUGAAGAGUUCAAAGUCGCAAAGUGUGGUCUUGCCUUACCUCAGAAGUCAUGGGACGGUAGAAACAAUAAAGGAAGUGUCACAAGCCCUGAGGAAGUCUCCAAGCUGGCUGGGGCUCCUGAUGAAGGUGCUGGUAGGAGCUCAGCGGAUGUGUCUGGGCUAAUGAGGGCUCUGUGGCUGGACACAGCGCAAAACAUGGGUUCCCCCAAAUUUAUUUAUUUAUUUAUUUAUUUAUUUAUUUAUUCAUUCAUUCAUUCAUUCAGAGACAGGGUCUCCCUCUGUUGCCCAGGCUGGAGUACAGUGGCACAAUCAUAGCUCACCACAGCUUUGACCUCCUGGGCUCAAGGGAUCCCCCUGCCUCAGCCUCUUGAGUAGCUGGAACUGCAGGUGUGCACCACCAUGCCCAGCUAAUAGCUAAUUUGUAAAAUUUCUUGUAGAGAUGUGGGCUCACUAUGUUGCCCAGGCUGGUCUCAAACUCUUGGCCUCAAGUGAUGCUCCCUCCUCGGCCUCCAAAAGUGUUAGGAUUACAGGUAUGAGCCACCACGCCUGCCCAGGCUGGAGUGCAGUGGCACGAUCUCGGCUCACUGUAACCUCCACUUCCUAGGUUCAAGUGAUUCUCCUGUCUCAGCCUUCCGAGUAACUGGGAUUACAGGCAUGUGCCACCAUGCCCAGCUCAUUUUUGUAUUUUUAAUAGAGACAGGGUUUCGCCAUUUUGGCCAGGCUGGUCUCAAACUUCUGACCUCAGGUGAUCCACCCGUCUCGGCCUCCCAAAGUGCUGGGAUUAUAGGUGUGAGCCAUCCCACCUGGCCAUAUCUUUGUUUCUCGCAACACACUUAUACACAUCACAAUAUUCUUUUUUUUAAAUUUUCUUUUCUUUUGAGAUGGAGUCUCACUGUUGCCCAGGGUGGAGUACAGUGGUGCGAUCUCGGCUCACUUCCCGGGUUCACACCAUUCUCCUGCCUCAGACUCCCGAGUAGCUGGGACUACAGGCGCCCGCAACCACGCCCGGCUAAUUUUUUGUAUUUUUAGUAGAAAUGGGGUUUCACCUUGUUAGCCAGGAUGGUCUUGAUCUCCUGACCUCCUGAUCUGCCCACCUGGGCCUCCCAAAGUGCUGGGAUUACAGGUGUGAGCCACCGCGCCUGGCCCUGGGUAUUUUCAUUUUUAUUUAUUUUUUUUGAGAUGGAGUCUCACCCUGUCGCCCAGGCUGGAGUGCAGUAGUGCAAUCUUGGCUCACUGCAAUCUCUGCCUCCCCAGGUUCAAAUGAUUCUCCUGCCUCAGCCUCCCAAGUAGGUGAGAUUACAGGCGCCUGCCACCACACCCAGCUAAUUUUUGUAUUUUUAGUAGAGACGGGGUUUUACCAUGUUGGCCAGGCUGGUUUCAAACUCCUGACCUUGUGACCCAGCUUAUUUUUGUAUUUUUAGUAGAGACGGGGUUUUACCAUGUUGGCCAGGCUGGUUUCAAACUCCUGACCUUGUGACCCACCUGCCUCAGCCUCCCAAAGUGCUAGGAUUACAGGCAUGAGCCACCGCGCCUGGGCCUUUGGGUAUUUUUAAAGAGUAAAGUGCCCUGAAGACUGUGUGUGUAGGUAAGGGGCUUGCCCUCCCACUGGAUGGCUCUGGAUAUAAAGUCAUGGAAACACAGCUCCUGCAUGUCUUCUAAGAGGCUUCAUGGUGUGGAGAGUGCAGAGUGCUGGCUGAGGGCCGGCCUGGCCCAGCUGGAGACUGAAGCAUGCCAAACUGACUCUAUCCCUUAGGAACCAAGAGGACAGCCACCACCCACAGUACCAGGCAGAAGCAGCCUGGGCCUCGUGGUAGUUGCUAAUCUGUAAGUUCCAUGAAGGCAGGGAUUAUGUUUUGAUCCCCAGUGUAACCCAGGCUCCUUGCACAGUGCCUAGCACACAGUGGUGCUCAAUACACAUUUUUUUUUUUUAAAAGGAGUCUCACUGUGUCGCCCAGGCUGGAGUGCAAGGGCGUGAUCUCCACUCACUGCAACCUCCGCCUCCUAGGUUCAAGUGAUUCUCCUGUCUCAGCCUCCCAAGUAGCUGGGACUACAGGUGCCUGCCACCACGCCCAGAUAACUUUUUUGUAUUUUUAGUAGAGAUGGGGUUUCAUCAUGUUGGUCAGGCUGGUCUUGAACUCCUUGACCUCAGGUGAUCCGCCCACCUUGGCCUCCCAAAGUGCUGGGAUUACAGGCAUGAGCCACAGCGCCCAGCCUCAAUACACAUUUUAAAGUGAAUUUUGGUAGAAUAUAUAUAUAUAUAUAUAUUUGUUUUUUGUUUUGAGGCAGUCUCAUUCUGUCGUCCAGGCUGGAGUGCAGUGGUGUGAUCUCGGCUCACUGCAACUUCCGCCUCCAGGGUUCAAGCAAUUCUCCUGCCUCAGCCUCCCGAGUAGCUGGGACCACAGAUGCACGCCCCCACGCCAGGCUAGUUUUUUUGUUUGUUUUUUGUAUUUUCAAUAGAGAUGAGAUUUUGCCAUGUUGGCCAGGCUGGUCUUGAACUCCUGACCUCAAGUGAUCCACUCGCCUUGGCCUUUCAAAGUGUUGGGAUUAUAGGUGUGAGCCACUGCACCCGGCCUCAAUAUUUCUUUAAAGACAUGGGGUCUCACUGUGAUCUCCCAGGAGUUCAAGCAAUCCUCCUGCUUCAGCCUCCCAAGUAGCUGGGACUAUAGGUGUGCCCUACCACACCCAGCCCUAAAUUAAUUUUUUAAAUGAAGUAUCUCACUAAAUGACAUGACAGCAACUUUGCACAGAUGAGGUGAGUUCCCUUCAUCUCCAAGCCAGUGGUCCCAGAACCUCACCCUAUGCAGUUAGGAGCAAGAGACUGCUGACAAGGAUCCCAUUAAUAGGCCCAAACCAUGCCAUCCUCAGGAAGCCGGACUCAUGGUUGCAGGCCCCUGUCCUCCCACGGGGCCACAGAAAAUAGCAAAGGAAAUGAAAAUGUCCCAUCCAACCCGGGCUCUGAGACCACACUGACAAAGCUUAGUGUCUGAAAGCCAGGGGCCCAACACAGGGCACCUCUCCGCAGCCUCUGUGUUAUUUCAUAGCUGAACAAAUUCUAUCCUAGGCCUUUCUUCUCUCAGAUCCCUCUUCCUCCCUCCUUACGCGGGCUCUGAAUUCCAGGCAUUACACCAACCACAAUCAUACACACAAGGGCCUCGUGCUCUGAUGUAGCCCUUGAAGCAACAGCAGCACCUGAAAGCCUGUUAGGAAGCAGAAUCUUGGGCCCCACCCUGGACACUGCCCAAUCAGAAUCUGCAUUUUAAACAGGAGCCCUUGAUGGAGCAGUUUGAGAAGCACUGGGUUGGAGUAGUAAUCAUCACUGAGAAGAUGACCAUAUCAGCAUUCUAUCUGCCUCCAUAACAAAUUAUCACGAAAUUGGUGGCUUAAAACAAUAUUCAUAACCUCCCAUUUCUGUAGGUCAGCGGUGUGGGCACAAUGUAGCCCAGCUGGGUCCUCUAUGCAGGGCCUCAGGGCUGGGCUCUUAAGGCUCUGGGGAAGAUCUGGCUUCCAAGCUCACUGGCCAUUGGCAGAAUGCACUUCCUUUGGCUUCCCACACAGCCACAUUGAAAACAGCAAGCAUGUGUCCAAACCCAGAGGCUUCAGGUCUCACUUCUGCUUACAGCUCCUAUGAUCACACUGGGCCGUCGGAUAAUCCAGGAUAAUCUCCCCAUUUUAAGGUCAACCCACCAGUUACCUUAAUUUCAUCUGCAAAGCCCCUCUUGCCACGUGAUAGAGCAUAACCAUGGGCAUGGCCCCAGAACGUGAAGGUCAUGGGGGCUGCAAUUCUGCCUACCACAUUGACUUCAUCAGCAACAGGUCCAGUUCGGGAUGAAUCGCCUCUGAAGGGUGCUCUGAAGUGCUCCAGCUGAAGUUUUGGCCAUCUCCGCCAGCCACACCCCACUGGGUUCCUCCUCCCCAGCUCUGGCUGUUUCGUCCCCUCUAGCCAUCGCCCACCGUCCACACUGCCAUACGGCCGCUCAGGACAUCCCAGUUCCCUCCUGCCCGAGAGCUCUCAUCUGAGGACGCGCAUCAUUCCUCAGGAAACUCUAUCUUUCCACACCACCCCCAGCUGUUCUCAGCCACCCAGAAAAAAGGAACAUAAACGCUAAUGGGGAAAAACAUGGGGACACAUCUCAUUUCACCCCACACUCCCUCAGCUCAACCUGGGAAUGUAACCUGCAGGGCAGCAAGACCAGAAGCAACACCACUCCAGUUCUCCCAAGGGCCAAUGGCAUAGCCCUUGGGUAUUCUCAGGGUUCUCUUACCCAGACAGGUGGCCAGCUAGCAGGAGUGCACACACUUCCAAAUAUCAGCUAAAGUCAAAUGAUGGCUCAAUCUUCUCCAUCUAUUAAAUCAAAUUGGUGCUAGGCUCAAUGGCCAAGGAUGCAAAGCUGGUUGUCUUUGGUCCCUUCCAAACUGUGGUCUGUGAAUGAGCAGUGGUAGGUAUUACCUUGGAGUUGCUACAUCUAUAGAGUCCCUCCUAGUGAACUGGAAUCUGCAUUUUAAUGAGAUACCCAGGUGAUCUGUAAGCACAUCCUGAAAUGCUGAGGAAAACCUGAAGUCAGCAGCAGAAAGGCGGACUCCAGCUGUGUCCAGGCAUCCUUCGUUCCGAGUCCAGUCCUUACCUGGCCCAUACAGGCCCAACUCCCAGCCACUCUUCCUCCUCCAUCAAGCACCACCUAUCUCUUGAGAUCUUUCACAAAAAUAAACUUUAGGGAAGGGUGGGACCUUUGGAAUAAUCUAGUCUUACCCCACCUCAUGGCCUCUUGCAUGUCAGCGCCAUCACCAUCAUCAUGCCACGUGCUGUGUCUCAGAGCCUGUUCCCUCCUAGUUUAAGAUCUUUGAGAAACCAUGUCUUUUCAUCUCUGUAUCCUCAAAGUCUGGCUGAUCCAGUCCGGUAUAUAGCAGGUCUGCUAAAUUGUUGUUAAACUGCCUUAAUUUCGAUAGAUGAAGCAAGCAGAGCCAGGAGAAGUUGGGGAGAUCAGCUAAGAUCACUGGGCAGUCAGGUGCUGAUCCACGUCCAAACUUCUGAACCAGGGAGGCAUACAAGAUGCUUUAGUGACUUACAUGUGUGUGCCAUUUUUAUUUGUCUCCAACACCCACCCUAUGUUGGAUGCCAUCUCAAUUCUUCUUGUGUAUUGAGAAUGAGUCUUUUAUCUAAGCUCGUUAAAACAGAAAUUCCAUCCAUAUUUACUUCAAAAGACUCAAAAAUACAAUUUAAUAGAAUACUUAAUAUGAAUUUCACAGGCACCAAAGUUUACAGCUGUUGAGGAUGAGGUCACACUGGCCCAACUAAAGUCAUGUCACCUCUCUCACAUCGUAGCAUUCUUUUAUCCUUGUUUUACACUCUUAAGAGAUAGCAUAAAGAAGAAAAUCAAAACCCAGAAAAGGUUUGCUGUAAUUACUCCAAUAAUUUCCUUCAGUGAAAAUCUCUUAUCACUAUGAUUUUAGUGACAGAGGAACAAGCAGAGCUCUGACGUGGGGCUGAGUGCCCACUACUAAAGGGCAGAGGCUGCCGCCAGGCCACCAAGGCCCAUCUGGCCAGGCAAGGCCACCCAGAGCCCUCACGUUUACUCCAAACGGCCAUUCUUGAGCCAGCUGGGUUGGGUCCCACCCCUUCUGGCUUGCACCACCACAAAGAAAACCUCAAGAAUAUCUGCUUUGCCGUUUUUUUUUUUUUUUGCAGACAGAGUCUCGCUCUGUCACCAGGCUGGAGUGCAGUGGUGUGAUCUCGACUCACUGCAACCUCCGCCUCUUGGGUUCAAGCGAUUCUUCUGCCUCAGCCUCCCGAGUAACUGGGACUACAGGCACGCACCACUACGCCCAGCUAAUUUUUAUAUUUUUAGUAGAGACGGGAUUCCACCAUGUUGGCCAGGAUGGUCUCGAUCUCUUGACCUUGUGAUCCGCCCGCCUCGGCCUCCCAAAGUGCUGGGACUACAGGCGUGAGCCACUGCGCCCGGCUGCCUUUUUUUUUUUUUAAAAAAGGAGAAAAGUAACAAUAAACAACAGCCUUAAGAAAAAACAAGAAGCAACACAGAUCAUAUGGGAAGCACAACUUUCUCAGCCAAGUAGCCCAAAUUAUCACAAAUAAUCCUACCAAGAAUACACCUAAUACUGGAGGGGAAAGAAUGCUUACACAAAACUGUUGUUUGCUUUGAAGCUUUGAAUAAGUUCCAAGUUUUUAUAUUUCACAAUUUAUAUACUUUAUUACAGUCCACAGUCUGCUAAAUAAAAGCAGUAACAAGAUAUUUCACAAACUAUUGUACAAAUUAAGUCUUAUG